rnacentral:rRNA from 1 species
UGCCAGCCGCCGCGGUAACACGUAGGGACCAAGCGUUGUCCGGAUUUAUUGGGCGUAAAGAGCUCGUGAGGCGGUUUUGUAAGUCGGAUGUGAAAACUCAGGGCUCAACCCUGAGACGCCAUCCGAUACUGCAAUGACUAGAGUCCGGUAGGGGAAGAUGGAAUUCCUGGUGUAGCGGUGGAAUGCGCAGAUAUCAGGAGGAACACCAAUGGCGAAGGCAGUCUUCUGGGCCGGUACUGACGCUGAGGCGCGAAGGCGUGGGUAGCGAACGGGAUUAGAUA